CUAGCAUAUCAAUAAGCGGAGGAAAAGAAACCAACAGGGAUUGCCCUAGUAACGGCGAGUGAAGCGGCAACAGCUCAAAUUUGAAAUCUGGCUUCGGCCCGAGUUGUAAUUUGUAGAGGAAACUUUUGGUGAGGCACCUUCUGAGUCCCUUGGAACAGGGCGCCAUAGAGGGUGAGAGCCCCGUAUAGUCGGAUGCCGAUCCAAUGUAAAGUUCCUUCGACGAGUCGAGUAGUUUGGGAAUGCUGCUCAAAAUGGGAGGUAAAUUUCUUCUAAAGCUAAAUAUAGGCCAGAGACCGAUAGCGCACAAGUAGAGUGAUCGAAAGAUGAAAAGCACUUUGAAAAGAGGGUUAAAUAGCACGUGAAAUUGUUGAAAGGGAAGCGUUUGUGACCAGACUUGCGCCGUUCCGAUCAUCCGGUGUUCUCACCGGUGCACUCGGGGCGGCUCAGGCCAGCAUCGGUUUUGGUGGGGGGAUAAAGGUCCAGGGAACGUAGCUCCUCCGGGAGUGUUAUAGCCCUGGGCGUAAUGCCCUCGCUGGGACCGAGGUUCGCGCAUCUGCAAGGAUGCUGGCGUAAUGGUCAUCAACGACCCGUCUUGAAACACGGACCAAGGAGUCAAGGUUUUGCGCGAGUGUUUGGGUGUAAAACCCGCACGCGUAAUGAAAGUGAACGUAGGUGAGAGCUUCGGCGCAUCAUCGACCGAUCCUGAUGUAUUCGGAUGGAUUUGAGUAAGAGCGUUAAGCCUUGGACCCGAAAGAUGGUGAACUAUGCUUGGAUAGGGUGAAGCCAGAGGAAACUCUGGUGGAGGCUCGCAGCGGUUCUGACGUGCAAAUCGAUCGUCAAAUCUGAGCAUGGGGGCGAAAGACUAAUCGAACCAUCUAGUAGCUGGUACCGC
rnacentral:rRNA from 1 species